rnacentral:rRNA from 1 species
UACGUAGGGUGCGAGCGUUGUCCGGAAUUACUGGGCGUAAAGAGCUCGUAGGUGGUUUGUCACGUCGUCUGUGAAAUUCCGGGGCUUAACCUCGGGCGUGCAGGCGAUAUGGGCAAUACUUGAGUGCUGUAGGGGAGACUGGAAUUCCUGGUGUAGCGGUGAAAUGCGCAGAUAUCAGGAGGAACACCAAUGGCGAAGGCAGGUCUCUGGGCAGUUACUGACGCUGAGGAGCGAAAGCAUGGGUAGCGAACAGGAUUAGA